rnacentral:rRNA from 1 species
UACAGAGGUCUCAAGCGUUGUUCGGAUUCAUUGGGCGUAAAGGGUGCGUAGGCGGCGCGGUAAGUCGGGUGUGAAAUCUUGGAGCUUGACUCCGAAACUGCAUUCGAUACUGCCGUGCUUGAGGACUGGAGAGGAGACUGGAAUUUACGGUGUAGCGGUGAAAUGCGUAGAUAUCGUAAGGAAGACCAGUGGCGAAGGCGGGUCUCUGGACAGUUCCUGACGCUGAAGCACGAAGGCCAGGGGAGCAAACGGG